rnacentral:rRNA from 1 species
GACGAACGCUGGCGGCAUGCCUAACACAUGCAAGUCGAACGGAGAUUAUUUCGGUAAUCUUAGUGGCGAACGGGUGAGUAACGCGUGGGCAACCUACCCUCUAGAUGGGGACAACAUCCCGAAAGGGGUGCUAAUACCGAAUGUGACAGCAAUCUCGCAUGAGGAUGCUGUGAAAGAUGGCCUCUAUUUAUAAGCUAUCGCUAGAGGAUGGGCCUGCGUCUGAUUAGCUAGUUGGUGGGGUAACGGCCUACCAAGGCGAUGAUCAGUAGCCGGUCUGAGAGGGUGAACGGCCACAUUGGGACUGAGACACGGCCCAGACUCGUACGGGAGGCAGCAGUGGGGAAUCGUCCGGAAUGGGCGAAAGCCUGACGGAGCAAUGCCGCGUGAGUGAUGAAGGAAUUCGUUCCGUAAAGCUCUUUUGUAUAUGACGAAUGUGCAGAUUGUGAACAAUGAUUUGUAAUGACGGUAGUAAACGAAUAAGCCACGGCUAACUACGUGCCAGCCGCCGCAGUAAUAC